GAUGAACGCUGGCGGCGUGCUUAACACAUGCAAGUCGAACGGUGAAGCAGAGCUUGCUCUGUGGAUCAGUGGCGAACGGGUGAGUAACACGUGAGCAACCUGCCCCUGACUCUGGGAUAAGCGCUGGAAACGGCGUCUAAUACUGGAUAUGAGCUGCGACCGCAUGGUCAGCAGUUGGAAAGAUUUUUCGGUCUGGGAUGGGCUCACGGCCUAUCAGCUUGUUGGUGAGGUAAUGGCUCACCAAGGCGUCGACGGGUAGCCGGCCUGAGAGGGUGACCGGCCACACUGGGACUGAGACACGGCCCAGACUCCUACGGGAGGCAGCAGUGGGGAAUAUUGCACAAUGGGCGAAAGCCUGAUGCAGCAACGCCGCGUGAGGGAUGACGGCCUUCGAGUUGUAAACCUCUUUUAGCAGGGAAGAAGCGAAAGUGACGGUACCUGCAGAAAAAGCGCCGGCUAACUACGUG
rnacentral:rRNA from 1 species